rnacentral:piRNA from 1 species
UAAUCACUCUCAUGUUUAUGAGGCCUUGAGC